rnacentral:rRNA from 1 species
UUACCUAAGUCUAAGGGUGGUAUGGGUUUCCGUGACAUGUGUGCUUUUAACCAAGCAUUGCUCGCAAAGCAGGCUUGGCGACUUCUUGAUACUUCGGACAGUUUGUGUCUCCGUCUGUUACGAGCGAAGUACUACCCGAAUGGAAAUCUAUUGAAUACAAUAUUAUAG